rnacentral:ncRNA from 2 species
AGGCUGGCCGGUGCAGCUGGUUCGCCCUGUCCGCCAGACAGACGCGUCGCAAGAGGGAACCCGGUGUGAAUCCGGGACUGCCCCGCAGCGGUAAGUGGGAACGACCGCCGUCAUACGCACUGGAUCCGUUCGGAUCCGGGAAGCGACGGCCAGUAGGAGUCUGCCCCCGGCAGACGUGCCCACGAGUCCGAAGACCUGCCCGUUGCCCGCACCCGAA